rnacentral:rRNA from 1 species
GUAGUUAGCCGGGGCUUCCUUGCAGGGUACCGUCAUUUGUUUCGUCCCCUGCGACAGAGAUUUACAACCCGAAGGCCUUCUUCUCUCACGCGGCGUUGCUGGGUCAGGCUUGCGCCCAUUGCCCAAUAUUCCCCACUGCUGCCUCCCGUAGGAGUCUGGACCGUGUCUCAGUUCCAGUGUGGCCGAUCAGCCUCUCAGCUCGGCUACCCAUCGUUGACUUGGUGGGCCGUUACCUCACCAACUAUCUAAUGGGACGCGAACCCCUCCCAAAGCGGAUUGCUCCUUUGACCUCAUCCCGAUGCCGGGUCGUGGUCUUAUGCGGUAUUAGCACUUGUUUCCAGGUGUUAUCCCCCUCUGAAGGUCAGGUUGUUCACGCGUUACUCACCCGUUCGCCACUAAAAUUUAUCUUCCAUCCGAAAACUUCUGAUAAAUCUCCGUUCGACUUGCAUGUGUUAGGCACGCCGCCAGCGUUCGUCCUGAGCACGAUACAACUACUGA